rnacentral:tRNA from 1 species
GGGGCAAUGGCGUAAUGGCAGCCGCAGAGGUCUUAAAAACCUUCGGUGUAACAACCGUGUGGGUUCGAGUCCCACUUGCCCCA